AGCCAAAGUGUUGAGUUCAGUUCUGGGCUGUCUCCUGGUUCUGCUAAUAAAUCUUUGGCACAUGAAAACGGCUGAGAGUGAAGAACUCGUGAAGCGUCUGAUGUGACGUCUUCAUCUGAACUUCAGCCGAACACAA